AUUGAACGCUGGCGGCAGGCUUAACACAUGCAAGUCGAGCGAGCGGCGGACGGGUGAGUAAUGUCUGGGAAACUGCCUGAUGGAGGGGGCUCACUACUGGAAACGGUAGCUAAUACCGCAUACCAUCAGAUGUGCCCAGAUGGGAUUAGCUAGUAGGUGGGGUAAUGGCUCACCUUGGCGACGAUCCCUAGCUGGUCUGAGAGGAUGACCAGACACACUGGAACUGAGACACGGUCCAGACUCCUACGGAAGGUAGCAGUGGGGAAUAUUGCACAAUGGGCGCAAGCCUGAUGCAGCCAUGCGGCGUGUGUGAGGAAGGCCUUCGGGUUGUAAAGCACUUUCAGCGAGGAGGCGUUACUCGAAGAGGAAGCACCGGCUAACUACGUGCCAGCAGCCGCGGUAAUUC
rnacentral:rRNA from 1 species